UGUUUGAUCCUGGCUCAGAUUGAACGCUGGCGGCAUGCCUUACACAUGCAAGUCGAACGGCAGCACGGGGGCAACCCUGGUGGCGAGUGGCGAACGGGUGAGUAAUGCAUCGGAACGUGCCCGGUAGUGGGGGAUAGCCCGGCGAAAGCCGGAUUAAUACCGCAUACGCACUGAGGUGGAAAGCGGGGGACCUUCGGGCCUCGCGCUAUCGGAGCGGCCGAUGUCGGAUUAGCUAGUUGGUGGGGUAAAGGCCUACCAAGGCGACGAUCCGUACCUGGUCUGAGAGGACGACCAGGCACACUGGGACUGAGACACGGCCCAGACUCCUACGGGAGGCAGCAGUGGGGAAUUUUGGACAAUGGGCGCAAGCCUGAUCCAGCAAUGCCGCGUGUGUGAAGAAGGCCUUCGGGUUGUAAAGCACUUUUGUCCGGAAAGAAAUCUCCUGGGUUAAUACCUCGGGGGGAUGACGGUACCGGAAGAAUAAGCACCAGGCUAA
rnacentral:rRNA from 1 species